CGAGCGUUAGGCGGAAUCACUGGGCUUAAAGCGUGUGUAGGCGGAGUUCUAAGUACCUUGUGAAAUCCCACGGCUCAACCGUGGAACUGCUUGGUAUACUGGUUCUCUUGAGCCACCUAGGGGCAACCGGAACAAACGGUGGAGCGGUGAAAUGCGUAGAUAUCGUUUGGAACGCCAAUGGUGAAAACAGGUUGCUGGGGGUGUGCUGACGCUGAGACACGAAAGCCAGGGGAGCAAACGGG
rnacentral:rRNA from 1 species